rnacentral:rRNA from 1 species
AUUGAACGCUGGCGGCAGGCCUAACACAUGCAAGUCGAACGGCAGCACAGAAGAGCUUGCUCUUUGGGUGGCGAGUGGCGGACGGGUGAGUAAUGUCUGGGAAACUGCCCGAUGGAGGGGGAUAACUACUGGAAACGGUAGCUAAUACCGCAUAACGUCGCAAGACCAAAGUGGGGGACCUUCGGGCCUCACACCAUCGGAUGUGCCCAGAUGGGAUUAGCUAGUAGGUGGGGUAAUGGCUCACCUAGGCGACGAUCCCUAGCUGGUCUGAGAGGAUGACCAGCCACACUGGAACUGAGACACGGUCCAGACUCCUACGGGAGGCAGCAGUGGGGAGUAUUGCACAAUGGGCGCAAGCCUGAUGCAGCCAUGCCGCGUGUAUGAAGAAGGCCUUCGGGUUGUAAAGUACUUUCAGCGGGGAGGAAGGCGGUGAGGUUAAUAACCUCGCCGAUUGACGUUACCCGCAGAAGAAGCACCGGCUAACUCCGUGCCAGCAGCCGCAGUAAUAC